AUGAGUGCCAUAAUGGCGGAGGGAGUGGAAUGGGGGCGGAAGCUGGACCAAAUAUUACAAACAUUGAAUGAACUAAAGAUAAGCUCUGAUAGCUUAAAGAAGGGGAAUGAUGAAUUAAAAGAACAAGUUGAAAUGAUUAACACCCGGCUGGGAUCAAUGGAGUCAAAGGUGCAACAGUAUGAAGGUAAAUUUAUGGAGAUGCAAGUGGAGACUAGAAAACAGAAAGAGGAAAUAGCCAACUUAAAAAAACAUUUAGAAAGUGCAAACCAAAAACUCCUAAACAAGAUUGCUGACCAGGAAGAUCGGUCACGAAGAGCAAAUAUACGCCUGAGAACAGCAGGGCAGGAUUUUCAGAUGAGUGACAAUUUAAAACAAAAUAUUGUCAGUUGGCUACAGACUUUGAUGGAAAUCUCACCGGACGAUAUAGAACAAUCGCAUUGGGCUUAUAGAGGUAGAAAAAAACCCAGAGACAUUUUGAUCCAUUUUUCAAGGGAGGCAACGAAGGAAAAGGUGUAUAAUCAGCUUCGGAAAAUAAAAGACCUUACCUUGGCAGGUAAAAAGGUCUGGCCUCUCCUGGAUCUUUCAUCAGAGACACUGGAUAAAAGAGCACAGAUGAAAGAAAUUACAAAAGUCCUGGAGGGGAAGAACCAGCGAUAUACUUGGGCUUUUCCUGCCACCCUGAUCGUCUAUAGAGAUGGUAAAUUAUAUAAAGCUACUGAUUUGGCUAGUGGAAAGACCAUGCUUAGACUUCUGAGAUUUUGUACAGAAGGGGGAGUAUCGGAUGAGACGGAGGAAUCAGAUAAUGAAGAGGUCCAUAGAAGCUUCAAAAGAAAGAAGGGGAGUAAGAAGGCGAAGGACACUCUUCAGGCAGCUGGACAGAUAAGAUCAACAGAGCUGGAAGCUGCAGACAGAGGCGGGCAAAUAGAAUCGUGCUCGACUCAGAGUAUAUCUGUUAUUGGAGACUUGAUGAAUAGGGAAGGAGAGCAUGGUCAAGAUUUACAAGAGACUAUAGACUUAAGAAAUUUGAAGCAAAUGGACUUAGACCAAAUACGAACUUUGGAAAAACAAUUGAGAGAACUAAAAAAGCAAAAGCUGUAA
rnacentral:lncRNA from 1 species